CCUACGGGGUGCACCAGUGGGGAAUAUUGGACAAUGGGCGAAAGCCUGAUCCGGCAAUGCCGCGUGUGUGAAGAAGGUCUUCGGAUUGUAAAGCACUUUCGACGGGGACGAUGAUGACGGUAGCCGUAGAAGAAGCCCCGGCUAACUUCGUGCCAGCAGCCGCGGUAAUACUAAGGGGGCUAGUGUUGCUCGGAAUGACUGGGCGUAAAGGGCGCGUAGGCGGUUUAUGCAGUCAGAUGUGAAAUCCCCGGGCUUAACCUGGGAACUGCAUUUGAGACGCAUAGACUAGAGGUCGAGAGAGGGUUGUGGAAUUCCCAGUGUAGAGGUGAAAUGCGUAGAUAUUGGGAAGAACACCGGUGGCGAAGGCGGCAAUCUGGCUCGAUACUGACGCUGAGGCGCGAAAGCGUGGGGAGCAAACAGGAUUAGAUACCCCCGUAG
rnacentral:rRNA from 1 species